CUUGGAGAGAUGUGACUUGAACAGUGAACUAUUCUAUUACUAGUACCACUUGGAUAGAUGUGACUUGAACAGUGAACUAUUCUAUUACUAGUACCACUUGGAGGGAUGUGACUUGAACAGUGAACUAUUCUAUUACUAGUACCACUUGGAGGGAUGUGACUUGAACAGUGAACUAUUCUAUUACUAGUACCACUUGGAGGGAUGUGACUUGAACAGUGAACUAUUCUAUUACUAGUACCACUUGGAGGGAUGUGACUUGAACAGUGAACUAUUCUAUUACUAG